ensembl:lncRNA
AAUUGCUCUGUUUUGAUAUUUCGGAUUUUAUGAAUGCAAUAUUUUAAAUGGGCACAUGGCGUGACUCUUCUUCUUUAAUUAAAAAUACUUGGGGUGGAAGAGCCCACGUAGAUGAAAAUGACUGAAAUGGAAAUGGGGGCUUUUAAGCUUUCUUUGAAAAAGUUCAAACACGGAGUAUGUCAAUGAAGUCCACAAUCCUCCUUUCCCCAUCUCUAGAUUUCUGGGUGUCAGCGCUUGGAGUAUUUCAGCUUUUUAUCACAGUUUAUGAUGGGAAGCUUGCUGAGAUUUUAAAAUAAAAUUCACAGAAUGGGGAAACCAUUUCACACCCAACUGUAACACCCUGCAGACAGACUGUGUUCAGUUAAAGAUGCUAAUGUUGUGAAAAACAGAUUUCUUCACCGCCUUUGACUUUUGCAAAGCAGACAGCAGUGUGGGAUUUGGAGGGAUCUGGAGUCAGGCUGCUCUUCUACAUCAUCAACAGAAUUGUUUACUGAGUUGGCUUUACAUGAAUACCUUGUUCACAUCUGCUAAUGGCCCAAAGGUAAUGGGCUUACAUCAAGCCAGAGUCUGAAGAAAGUGAUGUCUCCCAGGUGUCCCUAGGAUUUGUAAGGAGGCCAAAAAUGAGAGAAGCAGAAUCUACGGAGAAAGUGAAUGCAACUUUUCUGAAAGCUUCCAUGGAAAUUGUAGCUUUCUUCCGUCACCGUUACUGUGCCGUGAGUCCACGUUUGGAUGGUGCUGUCCCCUGGUCACUGAGCAGCUCAUUGAAGAGGGAGCAUUAAGAUGCUGUCUGUUUUGAUUAGCACCGCUGGGAAACACUCGUGAAGGUACCGGUCUCAGACUCAGAGGAUCAUAGAGUGGUUUGGGUUGGAUGAGACUGAAAAGUCAAAAUGUGACAAAUGGAAGCUGACUGUGGUAGGAAGCUGAUUUGAUAGAAAGGUGGUAUCCCCUGAGCCGAAAAAAUCAGAGUGUAUUUCAGUCAUUUCCAUCUCCCCUUUACGGAACCGUAACUUGAAAAGGAUGGAUAAACAGGGAAACCAGAAAGGGAGCUUGUUUGGCCAACUUUGACUGAACAACUUCUCCGCUAAAAUCAAGAGUCAGAAUGAGAUCUUUAUUCAGCACAGCCUGAAGAAAACUCCUCAUUAGCAGGAUGAGGUAAUUGCUUGGGGAUUGGGACCCCAGACAGCCGGCUUGAUGCCUCCACAAACGGUCUUUUGAAGCUUUCCAUCUUCCUCGGGAAACAUGGAACCUCUAUCUCCUUUUACUGGAGGUUUUCAGAUGAACUCCAAACAAGCUGCAAGUUGGCUCCGUGCCACGGUAUUACUAACACAAUCUGGCAGGAGGGCAAACAACCUCACAUUGAAGAAAAAAAAAAAAAAAAAAAAGAAGAAGAAAAAAAGAAGAAAGCCCUUGUGCUAUAACAAGUUGAUUCUGUUGGAAAAUUGCAGUCUAUUGUCCGGUGCCAAGAACAUCCAAAUCAGGUAGAUCAUUGGCUUUAUUUUGCGGGCAGCUUUGAUUAUGUAAGAAUUUAAUACUAAUGUGUUUGGAGCCGUCAGUGCAGGGCUGAACUUCCCCCAUCGUCUUAUAACGUCUGGGACCUCGCAGCAAAACACCACGUGGUCGUGUCAGGUAGGGGGAUGAGGAACAAUAGGAUUACCUGGCAUGAGAUCUUUUCCACCGCGCGGGCCAAGGAGGCCCAGAGCUUAUCCCUUUGGCCUUCCCAAAGAGGAGAGAUCAAAUGCUUUGCUGUCUUAGGGAUUAUGGAAGGAAGGGAGUGUGGUUGAGCACUUUCAGCUCAACAGAUGAGUUAGGCCUGGCAGGGGAGCGGUGGAGCAGGAGGGAGCUCAUGAUGGAAAACGAGAAGGAAGGCAAUAUGGCUGGUGGCUGAAGCCUGAGAUGUUUGGUCAGAGGUCCUCCUCAGGUCAGAAGUAAAAGCAGCCUGCUCACACCACAGAAUCCUCCUGGGUGGGUUAGUGAAACUGUGGAAAGUCCCAGGGAGAAGAGCGGAGGUUGGGUUGUGGUGGUGACUUUUCCCUGCUCUCCUCCCAUGCUAAAUGAAACCAACUUGUCCUACAUGUGCUGCAUGCUGGGCAUGAGGGCAUGGGCAGUUAUGGUGUCUCGGCUGACAUGUGGUGGCUUGGAAGCUUUUUAUAUCUUGUCUGGGGGUCUGUGGCAUUAAGCUUAUUGACUGGCUCAGGGACAAGCUGAAAGAGUGCAAGAGAGGCAAGAAUAAAAGGGUGAUGAAAGGGAGGGAAAGUGGCUUCAUACAUUCGAAGCUCCAGGUUUCUACGGUUUAUGUUAAGGGAGAAACACAGUGAAUGAAAUAGGAUGUGAAAAAAAAGCAUCUGAGCAUUUCUACUUCUUUUUUGGGAGACCAUGUUGCUCAGGGCUUGAUCCUUCAAGGUCCUGAACACCUUAAGGAUGGAGACGGCACGACUCGCCUGGGCAAUUUCUGGCACACCUUGCUUACAAAUUAAUUGACACUUCAGCGAUUGGCUCAGCAGGGAGUUCUCUUUGCCUGCGUUGUGACUUCCUUAGCAUCUUCUGUGUGUGGAAGGAAGAUACGGGAGACUUAGAGCGGGUGGACCCUCCCAGAUGUCCUGAGGACAAGUGCUGCACUGUGUUCUACAGCCAGCAGACCUGAAAAGCCCGAGCAACUUCUUAAUUCUGCCAAAGUGGGAGGUGCAUGUGCCUCCUGCACCCUGCCAAACCCCAUCAGCGUCUUUCCCUAGCUGUUACCUCAUCUGGCCAAGCACUCUGGAGCAGUUUGUCUGUUCUUUCUCUGACACUUUUAUCUGAUUGGAUUUUGCUCCUGGCACAGCUGUGGGGCUGCUGGGUGACCUGGGUAGAAGAAAAGCUGGCUUUAGGCAAUGCCUAUGCAGCUUUGAAUGUGCCGUCUCUAGAGCAUCCACGACCACAGGACAGACAGCCUGCCCAUCUCUGAUGUAUUCAACUGUUGGACAGUCCCAGUGGACAUGAUGGGCCGAAGGUCACUCUGUUAGUGCUCUCCACCUUGAGUUAAACAUCCUUAUCUUCCGAGCCCUACAGAUGUGGGUUGGCUCAAUGAUUAUGACAUGAGGAAGCAGACAUACAGGUAUUUAUUUAAACUGUCAGAGCCUCUUCCUUGGUAUUUGCAAGUCACGCUGCAGUGCAGCUAUAGGCCUGGUGGCUUCUCCCAGUCUCCUUGCAGCAGAGCAGGUGGAAGUGAGGACCUUUGGGACCAUUAGAAGGAAUUACGUCUUCCUCUGAAAGCACCUUCAAUGGCUGGUUGACAGCAAUGUGUAGUAAAGUGAGAAGUCUACAGAAGACUGUUGCAGACAAAGCACUCAUAAUGUUUCUGGUGUAGAUCCUCCAGCAUCUGAUAUGGUGGCUGAGGCCACAAGACAGCUGUUGCCCAGUUGUCUGUUUCUAUAAACCCCAGGACAGAAAGUCGCCCACUGACACACCCAACCUCACACACAUCCCUUCAAACACAUACUGCAUGGCUCCACAAUUACUCAUAGCCCUGAUAAUUUGCUUUCUACUGCUAUGAAUGAAUUCCAAGUGUUGGCAGGAACGUAUAUUAUUAUUUUGGGGUGGAAAAAUACCGAUUUAUCUCUAUCAAUAUUUUUUCCACAAAAGUGUUGGCGUUGAUGAAGACGUCAACACAAACAUUGCUUGAAAAAUACUAUAAAUAUUUUCCAUUUUCAUGAAGAAGAUGAAUGUUAUUUCUCUGGUUGCAAAUAUAUUUUUCUUUUGGAAUGUAAACUAAUAGUGCAGAAACUAUACAUUGUAGUUUAAACUAAACUGCAAUGGGAUGUUUCCUAAUUAUUAAAAGAAGUUGCUGACUCAAAUUAAUUUUCCUCACUGAGUUGUUGUUCAGGAUACAUUUGGAGAUUUCUUUCCCUCCAUUUCAAUUGGAGAACAUGUUUCUGUAUCUCAGAAUUUUUCAGGGACUGCAAAAGUCCCAUCUCCCCUCUGCCUAUUUUCCAUAGAUAGAGCAAGAAACAGAGACAUGGUGGGGAAAACUGAGUCACCCAAACCCUCGUGACAAGAAGUACAUUUUAUGUGCCCACAUUCCUAUGCUCUUCCAUCCCUGUUUGCUGAACCUCAUUGCCACCAAGAGCUGUAAAAGCUCUUGUAGUCAUCUGGGUGAUUAGUUGUAGAUUUAGACAACUUGCUGUAACUGCUGAGUGUUAUGUUAAUCUUACAGUAAAGGGCUCUGAGUUUAGGGGACAGAUGUUUGUAAUAUGGAUGUAUUGAUUACAAAGAACUCGGACCCCACCCGAAAGGCAGCUGUAUUUCAUUGCAAGGAAGGAUCUUUUCUUUUCUUUUCUUUUCUUUUCUUUU